AUGGUGAUGAGUCAAUUCCCCAGGAAAGUCAUGGCGCUGGCUUCGCGGCUGUGGCGCUUUCUCCCUUCUGGGCGGGUUGCAGUCCCGGGACUUCGGCUUCCGACGCGGGUUACUGGCGGGCGCGGAUCGUGCGUGCAGGGACUCAGCGGCUCAGAGGUAGCUGCUGAGUUCUGGCUCACGGGGAGGGCGCGUGCUGGCUACCGCCGCACACAGGUGAUAGGAAACCCAGGAGCUUUCAAAAGAAGCCUUAUAUUCUCAGCCUUGUCUUAUUUGGGUUUUGAAACUUACCAACUUCUUUCUUCGGCUGCUGUGGUUCAUGCCACAGCCAAAGUCUUCAGAGUUGAAGAAAUACUCCAACAAGCAGACUACCUCUAUGAAAGUGGAGAAACGGAAAAACUCUAUCAGUUGCUGACCCUGUACAAAGAAAGUGAAGAUGCAGAGUUACUGUGGCGUUUGGCUCGGGCAUCACGUGAUGUGGCUCAGCUUAGCAGAACCUCAGAAGAAGAGAAAAAGGCCCUGGUAUAUGAAGCCCUAGAGUAUGCAAAAAGAGCACUAGAGAAAAAUGAAGCAAGUUUUGCGGCUCAUAAGUGGUAUGCGAUCUGUAUUAGUGAUGUUGGAGAUUACGAAGGCAUCAAGGCUAAAAUUGCAAAUGCCUAUGUUAUCAAGGAGCAUUUUGAGAAAGCAAUUGAAUUGAACCCUAAAGAUGCUACCUCAAUUCACCUAAUGGGUGUUUGGUGUUACACGUUUGCUGAAAUGCCUUGGUAUCAAAGAAGAAUUGCCAACAUGCUGUUUGCAGCCCCUCCCAGCUCCACCUAUGAAGAGGCCUUAGGCUACUUUCAAAGGGCAGAGCAAGUGGAUCCAAACUUCUACAGCAAAAACUUGCUUCUUUUAGGAAAGACAUAUUUGAAGCUACAAAACAAAAAGCUUGCUGCUUUUUGGCUGUUAAAAGCCAAGGACUACCCGGCACACACACAGGAGGAUAAACAGGUACAGGCAGAAGCUACUCAGUUGCUUACAGGUUUCAGUGGCAAGAAUUGAGAAUUUUUCAGAGAAGAAAUCACCUGAAAUCUAGGAAACACUGCCUUUUCAUCAAAUUAUAACAAAGGCCAGUUCCUUUCAGCUGUCCCUGGUGAUUCUCUCUGGUUAUGGAAUGCCCUGUCUGCCUUGGCAACUCAACCUCCACUGGCUUCACCAAUUUAAUCUUGGCUCGUAUGCAAAUGUAUGGUCACAGGAUCCCUUUUCAUACUUUCAAAGUACUGAGAACCCCAAACAGCUUUUGUUGAUGUGAAUUAUAACUACUAUGUUAGAAGUUAAAACUGAAAAAUUUAAAAAAUAAUUCAUUUUGAAACGUGACCUUGUUUUAUAUUUCUGUAAAUCUUUUUACUGUCUGGACUCUGAUACCUGUACAGCUCUGUUGUACUAUAUGAUCUUCGUUAGGAGAUGUAUACCUGUCUCCCACAUGUUCAGUAGGAACUAGAGAUGGGCUCUAGUCACUUUUUCAGAUAAUUGUAUUAUUCCUUGACACUAUACUAGAUUUGACCAGGUUACAUGUAAUAUGAAAUCAAAGAAUUUUUUUGUACUGUUAUGUAAAAUCCAUUGGAUGGUGUUGCCCUCUGAACCAUCUUUUUUUACCCGUGCAUGAUUUUGUGACAUAUAUUGGUCACUUGCAAAUAUGGUUCACCAACUUACAGAGGAUUUUCAAAUGUGACACAUUUAAUUACGUAAUAGAAAAAAAAUUCAUCUCGUCAGUAACUGCUAAUCUCACCAAAAAGUCCUGGGAGGCUGUCAAGCCCAUGGUGUGUAUAUGUAUAUAUGUGUGCAUAUAUAAAAGUUUUCCAAAAUUCUAAUUUUUGCUCAAAACCUUCACUGCCCACAAAUGCUGUGAAUUGUUUUCCUUGAAGUGACACACUUACUUCACUACUUUCAAGAAAGUAUUUGCCAAAUAUCCAAGUCUGAAUAAACCAUUUGUUAGUCAUUCUUUGAAGUAAUGGGAGUGUUCAUAAAGAAGCCAGCUGGGUCAGCCUUCAACUCAAGCAGCUGCUUAAAAGCCUCCCCUCACAACAGGCACCAUCAUCAGACACAUGCUUAGAUACCAGAUGAACAAAGUCAAUUCUCACAGCCUCAUGAGGUGUAAUCCACAGUGAACCAAGUUGUUUUUUUCUUUUGCUGUCAACAGCAUACAUGGUUAACAAGGACCUGGUGAAGGGGUGACAGUUUGCCACCAGCAUGCAGAUGAGAAUACCAUAAAAAGGUGAAGCGUGGCUUAGCACGAACAUAGUUCUGACCGAAGAGAACCACCCAUGUCAGGUCGCCACCUGCUGGGAACACCGACAGUUCUGUAUUAUCUCCCUGUUCACUGUCUCUGAUCUCUCCUUUGGCCAGUAGAUUUCCUUGAAUCUCAUCAUCCGCUAAUUAAAACCUUUUAGAAGCUUCCACUUGCCCUUACAGUGAAAUCCACACUCUUCAGAGUAGCCCAGGGUCCUGCACAGUUGACCUGUAAUGACUGCCUGCAUUUCCAAAGCCCUUAUUUCUCUCCCCUGACUCACAGUCUGUUCCACUCAAACCAGUCAUUUCUGCAAUUUCUCACUUCAGGGUACUUGUAAACAACCAUGUACAAAGAGUGCAUUUCCCAGAUCUCCAGAGCAUGCUGUUCAUCAAACUCCAACAUGGCCCUUUCUGAGGGCUCCUUGCCCACCAGGCUAGCUGUGUCUACCACGGCUCAGCUUCAUUUCCCUCCAGACGUCCUAGAGCUGUCAUUUGCAUGCCCUCCCCUAAGGAGUGCAAACUGACAGUGGAUACUCUAAAUAUUGGUUUGUUCAGUCAGGACUAAACUUUGCAAGUAUUCAGAUUAACCAGGUAGAAACUAUUUGGUGGUGCUCAGUUAUAGGACGCUGCCUUAAUGAGUAUGUUCUAAAUGCUGAAAUCUGGCUACUCUAAUGAAUUAGCAGUUAUAUUGGGAUCAUAUAUUUAAAAAAAAAAAA